UGUGUGUGUGUGUGUGUGUGUGUGUGUGUGUGUGUGUGUUGACUGACUUGGACUGACGUUAAUCUGACCUUUGGACCAAGACUAACACUCCAGUAGACUUUACUGCACCAGAAAGGUGAACAAAAUUGAUGCUGCAAGACUGACAAGAUGCACACCAAUUAGACGACAAGCUAAUUCAAAUUCUUUCAAAAACAGGUCACAUUUCUACCUUUCAGGUAAGUAUUAAAGGCCUUUGUGCCGUCAUGGCAUGUGUCACUGUCUUUCUCUCGGUGUUCUGUCUGUCUCUCUCUUGCUGGUCUGUCUGUCCUGUGUAUCUGUCUCUCUCUCUCUGUCUCUCUCUCUUGCUGUCUGUCUUGUGUGUGGGGUCUCUGUCUCUCUGCUUUAACUCUUGUUGAGCUAUGCAUUAAAUGAUUCCUCCAACUUGUCUCCAUAACAGUAGUUUUCUCCCUGCAGACUUCCACCACCCACUGCUGCUGUUGCCUCUGCUAAAGGUAGCUGUAUCCUGGUUGACUGCGUCUUCAUGUGUUGGGAACAACCUGCUUCCUGCUCACAGAGACCUGGUCUGACCCGCCAUAUACAAAAGCCUGAGGCUGUCAAAAAAAGAUUGAUCUUCAUGAAGAUCGUCAAAGAGUAGGUGUGAUGGUUUAAUUCUGGGUGGCCGCCGUGUCCCCACUCUUUCUUGGCUGCUGUGCCUACAUCUCUCUGCAUUGUCCAACAUGGCCACGUUCUCUCUAUUCUCCUGCUUUCCAUCUGUCAAAUAGCUGAAGGUUGUACAUGGAGCAUUUGCCACAGGUUGGUUUUGUAUGUUCCUGUCCACUUUGUUGGGUGGUCUGUAAAUCUGAAUGGGUUGUGUGUGACUGAGAUGCCUGGAUUGAAUAGUCAAGAUGGUCUGAGAAUAGGAUUAUGUUGGAGUACAGUCAAAGCUAGAUGGUAGGAAUAAAGUUAAUGUUGUGCCUUGUACGCUCUGUCACAAGGUUUAGACUUCUUGGCCGCUGGGCCUUUCUUUUUUUCUCUUUUCCAACGUGGCCAUUAAUCUACCGUUAGCCCUAGAACGUUAAAAUAGAUCCUGGUGAUCUACAAACAUAGUACCUGGCUUUAGAUGGCAGCCCUGCCAUAGCCUUUGUAUGGCCAUACGUCCCUUAAUGCAAGUAGGCCAUGAUCGCUAACUGUGCCCGCGCCUUCGUGAGCUACUUGUGUUCUUGUACGUGUGGCCUUGCGCGUAUAGUCAUGUUACAUAGACAAACAUGGGUGCCUUCCGCGUCCAUGCACAGUAAGUGAACUAACCUGUACUUUUCUUCUAGCAUCAGUCAAGAGGAGCACCGACAUCCCUGCAUGUCCAUCUUAAUUAGAUUGCGUUUUUAGUUAAAGUAAAAUUUCAAAUGUUAAGUAGUUUUUCUUUCUUGCUUGGCCGCCGUGCCAUUACUAUACCUGCUCUGACCUGAGUCUUCAUUCUUCAUGGCCACUGUGUCAUGACUCUACUUGGUCUUUAUGCCAGUCUAUCAUUUCUGAUCUGUUUCCUUCUAAGUUUUCGUGUGUGUGUGUGUGUGUGUGUGUGUG